UACGGGGGGGGGGCAAGCGUUGUUCGGAAUUACUGGGCGUAAAGGGCUCGUAGGCGGCCAACUAAGUCGGACGUGAAAUCCCUCGGCUUAACCGGGGAACUGCGUCCGAUACUGGAUGGCUUGAGUUUGGGAGAGGGAUGCGGAAUUCCAGGUGUAGCGGUGAAAUGCGUAGAUAUCUGGAGGAACACCGGUGGCGAAGGCGGCAUCCUGGACCAACACUGACGCUGAGGAGCGAAAGCCAGGGGAGCAAAGCGGG
rnacentral:rRNA from 1 species